AGCCUCUCUCCCAGCCUUCUGCCCCGCAACUUUGCUCCGGAAACCAAAGGGGCUCAGAGAUUGACUGGGGGAGCAGGGAGCUGGGGGCGGGGCUGCCAUCCCUUCACCCGUUCACCCCAACGUUUGUUUGGGGUGGGGAGGAUAAUUAGCGAGGGCCUGAGCUGCCAAUGUAUUUGCCUCUGGCCUUAAACCAGGAAGAUUAGAAACUAAGUGAUAACUCACAUUCUUUCCAGAAAGCAGCCUAGUGUGGCGCCAGUAUGUAUGUGGGUAGGAGGUGGGGGGCAUAGUCCCACUGGGGUUCUGUCCACCCCCAAUCCCAAAGAUCACAUGGCCCCCAACAUCCCUUAAAUUCCCUUGAACCUUAACCUGCCAGGAAAAAUGUUCAGUCCACAUAGCUUAUCUGGGGGAACAAAAUAGAAUAAAAUUUACACACACACACACACACACACACACACACACAAUUUUUCUCUCCCCAAACUUUCUUUCUUCCUUUCUUCUGCUCUGCCUUGUCCCCAGCAUCCACACCUGAUGCAUGGCUGCGUGCACCACCCUGCAAGGGAGCUCCCACUCUGGGCCAGACAUUGUGCAGGAGGCCAGAGGAAGGUGACAGUAUAGAGCAGAUCCUGGCUCUCACGCAGCGUGUCCUGGAUGAGGCAAUGGACUGCUGCCAUACGGGGCAUCCAGCCAGACACAAGGGCUCAAGGAAGCUUCUGGGAGGAGGCGACACUUGAGCUGAAUCUUAAAGAACAAGCAGUAGUUAGCCUAAUGAUGGAUGGGGAUUAGAACCGGAAACCCCGGGCUGAGGAGAGAAAGCGGGGGAGAGAGACCAGAUGGGGCUGAGUGCCUCCAGGUGUGGAGAGACGUGAGGCUGGAGGUAAACAGGGGCCAGAGCAUGGAGCCUUUUUCUAGGAGAUGUUAAAGGGACUGGGUCUCUGUCACCAUCUCCCACUCCCAGCUCCCAGCCUUCUAUCUCACAGCUCAGUCCACCACCGCGGAGCAUGGGUCAGGUCAGGCACGUGUGCACGCGCGCGCGCGCGCACACACACACACGAAUAUGCCCGGAAAUGUAUACUCAAUGCCACAUCACAUAAGCAAGGACAUUUAGCAAAAGGGAAGAAAAGAAGAAAAAUGAUGUUCAAAUGAGAACCAGGGAGAGACGGCAGGCCUGGGGGAGGGCACUCAGCCAGGAAGGGGAGAGGAGGAGUGGAAGUGGGAAGUGCGUGGGCGGGAGAGCCAGGAGGCUGUUGAUGGAAAGGGAGCUGGAGAAUGCUCUGGGCUCUCCGCAAGGGGAAGACACAGACAGCAGCGGAGACAGCUGGUCAGCAGAGGUGGUGGGAGUGGGGGGCGAAGCACAGAGUCUAGAGCCCAGCCUCCCCCAUCCAAGGCUCAGCUCGGAUGUGUGUCCCCUCACGCCUCGCCCGCGGGAACUGUGGCUCCUCCUUUAGCUGACCACAGUGGUGGGCAUUGGCUGCAGGAGGUCCCUGAGAAAGCCCUCCAGUGUGGUCCAGGAGGGAGAUAGGGCCUGGGGAUCUGUCUGAUGCUCCGCUUUAGUGUGGAUACAUUGAUCAGAUGUGUUCCCUGGCAUCCUGGAGGGUUCGAAAGCCUGUUCUGAAGGGAUUCAGCACAGGCACGUGCCUAUCUCAGCACCUUCACAGCAGAGAGCGAAUCUCUGCAUCCAGUUACCCCAGAGACACAUCUGGACACCUCCCCGCAACAAAGCCCCCAAGACCUUCCAGAAGAGGAGCUGUGUCCAAGAGCCCCCUUCCUGUUAUGGGAAGUGCACUAUCUUCUGACCCUCAUAUCUGUUGCCUCUAUUUGUUGCUCUCUCAUAAACCAAUCCAAAUGGAGGGCAUCUGUAUUGCCAAAGGGAUUGGUCACUCAGCUUCGUCGGAUGCAAGAAAAGAUUCUGAGGGUAGGGACGGGCAUCGGUCUUGCUGACUGCCCUCUCUGCAGCUGUCAGGACUGGGCUUAGCAUGUAGUAGGUGGCCCAUAAAUAUUUGUUGAAUGAACACAUAUCGUCGGGAAAAAGGAGGUUGUUGUAAGGACACGCAGAAGAACCAGAACUGGAACUGGAAGUCAGAGCGGAAGUGGCCCCAGGGACCAGUGAGUCUCAGCCUGUCUCUCAGGGGCUGUGUCUUUUCUCACUACGCACCUGCUAAGAUGUGGCACUUGCCAUGGCCUCCCCAUUCCACCUCAUGGCAUUCUUCACUGUCAACUUUCAGCCUCCAGCUUCCAGGAGCCUUAUACUAUGGGUGACUCGCUUCUCUUCUAUAUUUAACCGCUUCCUCCAAACCAGACCCUUCCCAUCAACAUUUAAACAUUUCAGGUCUCUCCCACUGAAAGAACAAACCAACCAACCCUCUCCAACACAAGACCUUCUCCAGUUACUGCCUUCCUUCCCUUCACGACCAGCUUCUGGAAAGGUUUUUCCACAUUCCCCAUUUUCGUCUCUUCCCCUCACUCAGUUCUUGCUCAUUCCAUUCUGGGUUCCUCUCCAUCACUCCAUUGACGUAAGUCUUGCUGCGGUGCCAGUGACAUCCUAGUUGUUCCAGUCCUCACCUUGCAUGACCCACAAUCACACUAGACACAGAUGGUCAAGUUUCUCAUUGAACUCACCAGAUGUUUCGCCUCUUUCUCUCUGUUGCCCCGUUUCAGCCUCCUUCGCCAGCUCAGGUCCACUGCCAGGCUGGUGGGGUUCCUCAAGCGCUGGCCCAGGGCCCCCUUGCUGUCCACGCUGUACUUUCUCAGUGGGCAGUUGUCUGUGUUCCUUUCUUUCUUUCUGAGACAGGGUCUCACUCUGUCACUCAGGCUGGAGUGCAGUGGUGCAAUCUCAGCUCACUGCAGCCUCCGCCUCCCAGGCUCAAGCGAUCCUCCCACCUCAGUCUCCUGAGUAGCUGGGACAACAGGUGCAUGCCACCACACCGGGCUACUUUUUGUAUUUUUUGUAGAGACAGGGUUUCACCAUGUGCCUGGGCUGUGUGUUAGUUAUUUAGGCUCUUCUGUUACUAUAUAUACAUUUGUGACCCUUGUGAUAACAGCUCUUCCUUCUCCUCUGCUUCCAAGAACAUGUUAGGACUUCCUCACCUCCUUGGGACAUGGUUAUGAAGAUGAGAGUAAAUGACACGUCACUUCCGGACAGAAUCUUUCAGAGUCAACUUGCAAUUCACGAUGUCCCUGUCUCUGCCUUAAUCAUAGUGGAAGCACCUGCUGAGAUGGAAGUUUCCUCAGCCUGGUCUCUGAGGGUCUAUGAUGAGCAGUCUUCCCUAGUAUCCGCUUUGGAGAAAUAGAUCUUAACUGAAUUAAGAUACUGAGGUUUGGCAUUAUUUAUUUAUGUAUCUAUUUAUUUACUUGUAACAUCUUUGUUAGAUUUUGGUAUCUGGUUAUUGCUAGCCUCCUCAAACAAACUGAGAAGAGUUCUUUCCUGCUCUAUUUUCUGAAAGAAUUUGCUUAAGAUUUGUGUAACUUCUUUCUCAAAUGUUUGAUAGAAUUCACCAGGGAAACUAUCUGGGCUAGGAGCUUCCUUCCUCUUUCUUUCUUCUUUGUCUCUCUUUCUGUCUUUUCUUUCUUUUCAAAAGCUCUACUUAUAUAGCAUUGACAUUUAAAAAUUGUACAUAUUUAAGCUGUACAACUUGAUUUAACUCUAAACAAUAGUUUUAUUUAAAUAAUAUUUUUUAUUAUACUUUAAGUUCUGGGAUAUAUGUGCAGAAUGUGCAGGUUUGUUACAUAGGUAUACAUAGGUUUGUUACAUAUGUGCCAUGGAGGUUUGCUGCACCCAUCAACCUGUCAUCUACAUUAGGUAUUUCUCCUCAUGCUAUCACUCCCCUAGCCCCCCAUCCCCCAACUUGAUGUUUUGAUAUAGAUUGUGAAAUGAUCACAACACAGCCAAUUAAAUAUCUACCUCUUCUACAUAGUUACCCUUUGUGUGUACGUUGAAAAGAUUUACGAUCUAUCAUCUUCUGAAGUUUUCUUUGUGGGAAAUGUUCUGAUAAUGAAUUCAAUUUCUUUAAUAGAUGGAACUAUUUAGAUUUUGGAUUUCAUUUUGUAAUCUUAUCAAGCCAUUUUGCCCGUCUCAGUUGCCAAAUUUAUUGGCAUAAAGUUGUUCAUAAUAUUUUCUUAUUACCUUUUAAUGCCUGUGGGCUCUGUGGUGAUAUUGAUGCAGGAUUUUUUUCGGCCCCUUUGCCGAACUUGUGGCAGGGGCGCCCCAUCUAUUUGGCUCACUGCGCUCAGCCCCUUGAGGGAGGGAGCAUGUGAGAGAGUGAGUGCAGGAUCUGGCUCGCUGCAGGAUCUGGCUUGCCACAGGAGCAAGCUCUGUUUGGGGGGCCUGUGGCCAGACCAGGUGUGUCACCUUGAGGGGAACAGUGACACCCAGGUGAGGUUGCCCAUGACCCCGAGGCCCCAAAGGGGGUGUGUUAUAGUAGUCUUUUAGUUCCACUGUCCAUGGUCUGAUGGACAGUGGUGUGUUAGCAGCUUAGUUGGCCCCUUGCCUCGUCAUGUGGGGUAGCUGCCCUCCGCUGCUGAGGGCAAAGGGCCAUUGUGACAGCCUUUUCUGGGUACCUGCACUUGGUGGGUCCUGAGGUCUUAUCCAGCAUCCAGGAAGAAACUCUUCCAUCACCUGCAUGACCUCAUUCUGCCUGGAUGCUGGACAAGAGCUUGGGACCCAAUGAGUGGGUGAAGACAGAGCAUUUUAUUGAGUGACGGAAACAGCUCUCAGUGGAGAGGGGAGCUGGAGAGGGGAUGGGAAGGGAAGGUUGUCUUCCCCAAAGUCAGGUUGUCUCUUCCUCGAAGUCAGGCCAUCUCCCCUUCUACUGACUGAGUCUUUAUAGGCACAGGAUGGGGAGUGUGUGCUGAUUGGUUUGUGAGUAUGCAAAGAAGGUUAAAAUUAAGAGAUCACUCAAAGGUGGGCAUGACAGUGUAGAAAACCAAUUAGGAAAGGGUAGGUAUAUGUAAAAUAGGUGAAAGGUGGGGAUCAAUCAGAGGAAGGCACACCAAACAGGAGGACAAAUUCUUAAUCCAGUCCAAGGAUUUAACUUGUAGUUUGGCUUUCAGGCUUUAAACUGUCUUUGGUUUGGAGGUGGGGCUUCACCAGGGACCUGCUCCUGUCUGCCGAGGCAUUUGACUGCCUCCUGUUACUAUCAAUAUCUCCUUUCAUUCCCUAAAUUUAUAAUUUGCAUGCUGUCUCUUUAAUCAACCUAGCCAGCUAGGAGUUUAUAAAUUUCGUUGAUAUUUUCAAUGAACCAGCUUUUGGCUUUGUUAAUUUUCUCUUCUUAUAUGUUUUCUGCUUCACAAAUAUUGACUGUUUUUUUAUUAUUUUUUCCUUUCUUCUACUUAAAGUUUACUUUGCUCUUUUUUAUCCUAGCUUUUUGAAGUGGAACCUUAGAUCCUUACUUUUACAUCUUUCUUCUUUCCUAAUAAAGCUAAAUAUUUUCCUUUAAGCACUCCUUUAGUUGUAAAUCACAAAUUUUGAUAGAUUAUACUUUUAUUUAUUGUUCAGUGCAAAAUAAUUUUUAAUUACUCAUUUUCUUUGUGACUUAUUCUUCUACCCAUGGGUUAUCUGGAAGUGUGUAUUUAAUUUCCAAAUAUUUGGGUUGUGCCAGAUAUCUUAC
rnacentral:lncRNA from 1 species